UAGGGAAUCUUCCGCAAUGGGCGAAAGCUUGACGGAGCAACGCCGCGUGAGUGAUGAAGGUCUUCGGAUCGUAAAACUCUGUUAUUAGGGAAGAACAAAUGUGUAAGUAACUAUGCACGUCUUGACGGUACCUAAUCAGAAAGCCACGGCUAACUACGUGCCAGCAGCCGCGGUAAUACGUAGGUGGCAAGCGGUAUCCGGAAUUAUUGGGCGUAAAGCGCGCGUAGGCGGUUUUUUAAGUCUGAUGUGAAAGCCCACGGCUCAACCGUGGAGGGUCAUUGGAAACUGGAAAACUUGAGUGCAGAAGAGGAAAGUGGAAUUCCAUGUGUAGCGGUGAAAUGCGAAGAGAUAUGGAGGAACACCAGUGGCGAAGGCGACUUUCUGGUCUGUAACUGACGCUGAUGUGCGAAAGCGUGGGGAUCAAACAGG
rnacentral:rRNA from 1 species